UAAUCGGUCCUUUUCAGGACCACAUUAUAACAUCCACGCAUAUAUU
rfam:Acromyrmex echinatior unplaced genomic scaffold scaffold669, whole genome shotgun sequence.